rnacentral:rRNA from 1 species
GACGAACGCUGGCGGCGUGCUUAACACAUGCAAGUCGAACGGAAAGGCCUCUUUCGGGGGGUACUCGAGUGGCGAACGGGUGAGUAACACGUGAGUAACCUGCCCUUGACUUUGGGAUAACUUCAGGAAACUGGGGCUAAUACCGGAUAGGAGCUCCUGCUGCAUGGUGGGGGUUGGAAAGUUUCCGCGGUUGGGGAUGGGCUCGCGGCGUAUCAGCUUGUUGGUGGGGUAGUGGCGUAACAAGGCGUUGACGGGUAGCCGGCCUGAGAGGGUGACCGGCCACCUUGGGACUGGGAUACGGCCCAGACUCCUACGGGGGGCAGCAGUGGGGAAUAUUGCACAAUGGGUGGGAGCCUGAUGCAGCAACGCCGUGUGCGGGAUGACGGCCUUCGGGUUGUAAACCGCUUUCGCUCAUGACGAAGCUUUGUGUGACGGUAGUGGGUAAAGAAGCACCGGCUAACUACGUG